rnacentral:rRNA from 1 species
CCCUUAGAUGUUCUGGGCCGCACGCGCGCUACACUGACGAAGUCAGCGAGCAUGUCCUACGCCGACAGGUGCGGGGAAUCUUGUCAAACUUCGUCGUGAUGGGGAUUGAUUAUUGAAAUUCUUGAUCAUCAACGAGGAAUUCCUAGUAAGCGCAAGUCAGCAGCUUGCGUUGAUUACGUCCCUGCCCUUUGUACACACCGCCCGUCGCUACUACCGAUUGAAUGGUUUAGUGAGAUCUUCGGAUUGGCGCCACUGCGGCUCAGCAAUGGGCUCGGUGGAUGCCGAAAAGUUGAUCAAGCUUGAUCAUUUAGAGGAAGUAAAAGUCGUAACA